rnacentral:rRNA from 1 species
GGGUUGUGAGGUUAAGCGACUAAGCGUACACGGUGGAUGCCCUGGCAGUCAGAGGCGAUGAAGGACGUGCUAAUCUGCGAUAAGCGUCGGUAAGGUGAUAUGAACCGUUAUAACCGGCGAUUUCCGAAUGGGGAAACCCAGUGUGAUUCGUCACACUAUCAUUAACUGAAUCCAUAGGUUAAUGAGGCGAACCGGGGGAACUGAAACAUCUAAGUACCCCGAGGAAAAGAAAUCAACCGAGAUUCCCCCAGUAGCGGCGAGCGAACGGGGAGCAGCCCAGAGCCUGAAUCAGUGUGUGUGUUAGUGGAAGCGUCUGGAAAGGCGCGCGAUACAGGGUGACAGCCCCGUACACAAAAAUGCACAUGCUGUGAGCUCGAUGAGUAGGGCGGGACACGUGGUAUCCUGUCUGAAUAUGGGGGGACCAUCCUCCAAGGCUAAAUACUCCUGACUGACCGAUAGUGAACCAGUACCGUGAGGGAAAGGCGAAAAGAACCCCGGCGAGGGGAGUGAAAAAGAACCUGAAACCGUGUACGUACAAGCAGUGGGAGCACAGAGCAAUCUGUGUGACUGCGUACCUUUUGUAUAAUGGGUCAGCGACUUAUAUUCUGUAGCAAGGUUAACCGAAUAGGGGAGCCGAAGGGAAACCGAGUCUUAACUGGGCGUUAAGUUGCAGGGUAUAGACCCGAAACCCGGUGAUCUAGCCAUGGGCAGGUUGAAGGUUGGGUAACACUAACUGGAGGACCGAACCGACUAAUGUUGAAAAAUUAGCGGAUGACUUGUGGCUGGGGGUGAAAGGCCAAUCAAACCGGGAGAUAGCUGGUUCUCCCCGAAAGCUAUUUAGGUAGCGCCUCGUGAAUUCAUCUCCGGGGGUAGAGCACUGUUUCGGCAAGGGGGUCAUCCCGACUUACCAACCCGAUGCAAACUGCGAAUACCGGAGAAUGUUAUCACGGGAGACACACGGCGGGUGCUAACGUCCGUCGUGAAGAGGGAAACAACCCAGACCGCCAGCUAAGGUCCCAAAGUCAUGGUUAAGUGGGAAACGAUGUGGGAAGGCCCAGACAGCCAGGAUGUUGGCUUAGAAGCAGCCAUCAUUUAAAGAAAGCGUAAUAGCUCACUGGUCGAGUCGGCCUGCGCGGAAGAUGUAACGGGGCUAAACCAUGCACCGAAGCUGCGGCAGCGACGCUGAUGCGUUGUUGGGUAGGGGAGCGUUCUGUAAGCCUGCGAAGGUGUGCUGUGAGGCAUGCUGGAGGUAUCAGAAGUGCGAAUGCUGACAUAAGUAACGAUAAAGCGGGUGAAAAGCCCGCUCGCCGGAAGACCAAGGGUUCCUGUCCAACGUUAAUCGGGGCAGGGUGAGUCGACCCCUAAGGCGAGGCCGAAAGGCGUAGUCGAUGGGAAACAGGUUAAUAUUCCUGUACUUGGUGUUACUGCGAAGGGGGGACGGAGAAGGCUAUGUUGGCCGGGCGACGGUUGUCCCGGUUUAAGCGUGUAGGCUGGUUUUCCAGGCAAAUCCGGAAAAUCAAGGCUGAGGCGUGAUGACGAGGCACUACGGUGCUGAAGCAACAAAUGCCCUGCUUCCAGGAAAAGCCUCUAAGCAUCAGGUAACAUCAAAUCGUACCCCAAACCGACACAGGUGGUCAGGUAGAGAAUACCAAGGCGCUUGAGAGAACUCGGGUGAAGGAACUAGGCAAAAUGGUGCCGUAACUUCGGGAGAAGGCACGCUGAUAUGUAGGUGAAGUCCCUCGCGGAUGGAGCUGAAAUCAGUCGAAGAUACCAGCUGGCUGCAACUGUUUAUUAAAAACACAGCACUGUGCAAACACGAAAGUGGACGUAUACGGUGUGACGCCUGCCCGGUGCCGGAAGGUUAAUUGAUGGGGUCAGCGCAAGCGAAGCUCUUGAUCGAAGCCCCGGUAAACGGCGGCCGUAACUAUAACGGUCCUAAGGUAGCGAAAUUCCUUGUCGGGUAAGUUCCGACCUGCACGAAUGGCGUAAUGAUGGCCAGGCUGUCUCCACCCGAGACUCAGUGAAAUUGAACUCGCUGUGAAGAUGCAGUGUACCCGCGGCAAGACGGAAAGACCCCGUGAACCUUUACUAUAGCUUGACACUGAACAUUGAGCCUUGAUGUGUAGGAUAGGUGGGAGGCUUUGAAGUGUGGACGCCAGUCUGCAUGGAGCCGACCUUGAAAUACCACCCUUUAAUGUUUGAUGUUCUAACGUGGACCCGUAAUCCGGGUUGCGGACAGUGUCUGGUGGGUAGUUUGACUGGGGCGGUCUCCUCCUAAAGAGUAACGGAGGAGCACGAAGGUUGGCUAAUCCUGGUCGGACAUCAGGAGGUUAGUGCAAUGGCAUAAGCCAGCUUGACUGCGAGCGUGACGGCGCGAGCAGGUGCGAAAGCAGGUCAUAGUGAUCCGGUGGUUCUGAAUGGAAGGGCCAUCGCUCAACGGAUAAAAGGUACUCCGGGGAUAACAGGCUGAUACCGCCCAAGAGUUCAUAUCGACGGCGGUGUUUGGCACCUCGAUGUCGGCUCAUCACAUCCUGGGGCUGAAGUAGGUCCCAAGGGUAUGGCUGUUCGCCAUUUAAAGUGGUACGCGAGCUGGGUUUAGAACGUCGUGAGACAGUUCGGUCCCUAUCUGCCGUGGGCGCUGGAGAAUUGAGGGGGGCUGCUCCUAGUACGAGAGGACCGGAGUGGACGCAUCACUGGUGUUCGGGUUGUCAUGCCAAUGGCACUGCCCGGUAGCUAAAUGCGGAAGAGAUAAGUGCUGAAAGCAUCUAAGCACGAAACUUGCCCCGAGAUGAGUUCUCCCUGACUCCUUGAGAGUCCUGAAGGAACGUUGAAGACGACGACGUUGAUAGGCCGGGUGUGUAAGCGCAGCGAUGCGUUGAGCUAACCGGUACUAAUGAACCGUGAGGCUUAACCUUACAACGCCGAAG